GUUAUUUUAAAAAAUCAUCCAAGGGGAAACUGACAUGACAGAGUCAGCUUCUCUCUCCCAUCUACUUAAACAAAGGGAAAACGCAGUACAAUCAGAAAUAUGACUUAUGGAUAUUUUAUAAGAUAAAUUUAGGAGAAAAAUUUAAAAGGGAUAAAAGAACACUUUGAAGACCUAGAAAAGCUCGUGAAAAUCAGGGGUGUAAGGAGGAUGCAGAGAGAGAAGGGAAAAGUUACAAGGUCAAGAAAGGAGAAAAGGAAAAGACAUUUUAGAAAUUUCUCUUUCUAACCUGAGCCACAUAGCAAGACCCUGUCUCUACAAAAAAAUCAAAAACUAGCCAGGUAUGGUGGUGUACACUUGUAGUCCCAGCUACUCAGGAGGCUGAGGUUGGAGGAUCACUUGAGCUCAGGAGGUCGAGGCUGCAAUGAGCUAUGAUCGCGCCACUGCACUCCAGCCUGGGAGACAGAGCGAGACCCUGUCUCCAAAAAAAAAAAAAAAAGAAAGAAAGAAAGAAAAAGAAAAAAUUAUCUUCUUAUCCCGCUCUUCUCAGGCAUUAAUGAGCUUAUCUGGUAUACUGAAGGAUUUAGCUUAACCCACAAUAUAUGCCUGAGUAGAUUCUUUGGCAGUAUUACCUUGUGUGAUGUGUCAAUUCCUUGGCAAUGAUUCACGCACGCGUGCACACACACACGCACACAGAGCAAGCACAGCAAUACGCAUUUGUGUCAUCUGUUGGGGACCAAGGUUCACAAAUAGCAAAACACACAGCAUCAUCCGGGGCUGGAGCAAGUGAGCAGCCUGGGAGGAGAGGGGUCACAUGAGCAGCUUGGCUCAGCUGACCCUGGAGCCAGUUCCCUCAGGUUUCCCAGAGCACAGCCUGGCUGAGACUGAAGGCGGCUUAUCCAUCUUGAAUUCUGAGGAAACAGAGACCCAGGGCGUAGGUUUCUGCAAGAGUCACAGGCUCGUGGGAACAAAGUCAAAGUCACUGGGAGAAAACCGGGCUGACUGUGGGACUGGAACUGGAGAGCAUUUCUGGAUUCAGUCCUCUAAAAGGUGCCUCUUGCAUGGUGGCCUGACAUGUCAACGUGCCCAGGAGUCUGUGACAGGCAGCCAGGUGCCUCAAUCCCACUGCCUGGGGGGCCAGGGCUGGGCUGGGACUCACCAUAUUCUGGAAGUCGCACAAACUCCGAGGGCUCGCUGGGAAGGCUGAUUCCCCAGGGGUUACUGGCACUGACUCUGAACUGAUAAGGACACCCGGGACUAAGGUCUUCGAUGACGAGGCCUCAGCCUCCCACUCUGUAAAAUGGGAUUGAUCAUCCCUGUCUGGGUGAUCGAGCAUGUUAAGUAGGGAUACAUGCAUGAAGACACCUUGAAACCUGCCCUGGGUCAUAAAUAUGUCAGGGAGGUUUGGAUCAUCUUAGCCAAAACAGCUGCUCGACAUCUGGGAUCAGAAGGCAGCUGUAAUCUGGCACUGAGGCCUCUGUGCUGAGUUGGAAGACACAACAAGGAACAACUUCUGAAAGAUGAGGAGGCUAAUAUGUUCACAAUUCUGAAGGACCUCCUAGAGACGAAGAGAAGACAGAAAAACAAGAGCAGGAGGCCGGGCGCGGUGGCUUACGCCUGUAAUCCCAGCACUUCCGGAGGCUGAGGCAAGUGGACUGUUUGCGCUCAGGAGUUUCACAGCAGCCAGCAGCCUGGGCAGCAUAGUGAGACCCUGUCUCUACUAAAAAUACAAAAAUUAGCCGGGUGUGGUGGUGUGCGCUUUAGUCCCAGCUACUCAGGAGGCUGAGGUGGGAGGUUGGCUUGAGCCCAGGAGGUGGAGGCUGCAGUGAGCCCACAUUGCACCACUGCACUCCAGCCUGGGUUGAUGGAGCCAAACCCUGUCUCAAAAAAAAUAAACAAUAAAAAUAAAGGAAAAUAAAAGUGGCUCAUGCCUGUAAUCCCAGCACUUUGGGAGGCCAAGGUGGGAGGAUCACGUUAGCCCUGGCGUUUGAGACCAGCCUGGGCAAUAUAGCAAUAGCCUGUCUCUAUUCAAAUUUUUGAAAAAAUGGUUAGCAUGGUAAAUUUUAUUAUGUGUGUUUUACUGCAAUUUUAAAAAUAAAUGUUUUAAAAGAAGAGAAAAGAAAAAGAAGAGCAGGAGAUAGUGCACCUUCCUCUCUGUACUCCACAGUGUAACCAGAAAUAGUGCAGUUUCCUGUGCUGGAGGGGGGCAGCCAGCGGAGAAUCACGGAGGUGCAGCUUCUCUCCUGGGCAAUGGGGCGGUUAGGGGCUGCUGGAACACCUAUGGAGACAGAAAUCAGGAUCAGGUGCUAUUUCUGCAGAACUUGGCAUUUUACACCAAGGUAUAAGUCAUCUAGGAAACAUUACCUAACCGAUGUCACAAUUUUUUCCUGUGACCUUCUCCACCAAGUGGCAUACCUUUCUCCAGGCCCAAGGCAGAUGUGGGAGACACACCAUGCUGUCUGAAGUUCUUCCUUGGGCUAAAUACUGCACCCUGAAGAUAAAGCUUGGCCAGGGAACUAACAUGUUGAUGGUAGGUUUAUGGUAGGCCACAGACAGCUCUUAGCAAAGAUUCGUUCUCGUCUCAUUUGCCAGAACUUUAUUUUUGAAUUUUUACAAUGGACAUUUUCUCCCCCAGGUCGCAGGGAGCCCUUAUAAUGUUCACUUAAAACGUAGUGCCAGGUGUGCUGGCUGACGCCUAUAAUCCUAGCACUUUGGGAUGCCAAGGCAGGAGGAUCACUUGAGCCCAGGAGUUCGAGGCUCCAUCACUACAAAAAGUUUAAAAAAUGAGCUGGGCAUGGUGGCACAUGCCUAUAGUCCUAGCUAGUUGGAAGGCUGAGGUGGGAGGAUAGCUUGAGCCUGGGAGGUUGAGGCUGCAGUGAGUGGUGUCAUGCUACUGCACUCCAGCCUGAGCGACAGAGCAAGACCCUGUCUCAAGAAAAAAUAAAGUUUGAGUAACACAAAUUGAUAGAGACAGAAAGUAGAGCAGUGGUGGCCAAGAAGCACUGGGGAGGAGGGAAUGGGGAGUCAUUGUUCAACAGGUACAGAUGCAGUUUCAGAAAGAUGGGAAGAUGAAAAAGUUCUGUGGAUGGAUGGUGGUGAUGGUAACCCAAAAAUGUGGAUGUACUUAAUGCCACUGAACUGUACACUUAUUUAUUUAUUUUUAAGCUGUACAUUUAAGAUGGUUCAGAUGGGAUGGGCACAGUGGCUCAUGCCUGCAAUCCCAGCACUUUGGGAGGCCAAGACGGGAGGAUUGCGUUAGCCUUGGAGUUUGAGACCAGCCUGGGCAACAUAGCG
rnacentral:lncRNA from 1 species